rnacentral:rRNA from 1 species
AGCUCCAAUAGCGUAUAUUAAAGUUGCUGCAGUUAAAAAGCUCGUAGUUGGAUCUCGGGGUACCUGGUCUAGCCGGUAUAGCUCACGCUAAAACUGGUCUGACCCCCCAACGUGAGGUAUUCGUCUCCGGGUGCACUUCAUUGGGUGCUCGUGAGGGGCCUCGUAGUUACUGUGAAAAAAUUAGAGUGUUCAAAGCAGGCUCAUAUGUUCGGAUAGUCGUGCAUGGAAUAACUGAAUUAGGGACUGGGGCUAUUCAGUUGGUCUCGGAGACUAGAGAAAUGAUUAAGAGGGACUGCCGGGGACAUUCGUAUGGCGAGGUUAGAGGUGAAAUUCUUGGAUCCUCGCCAGACCAACAAAAGCGAAAGCAUUUGCCAAGAAUGUCUUCA